rnacentral:lncRNA from 10 species
CCAGAAGGGAGGGAUGAUUCAAAUAGAGCUGGAUAUCUAUUGCUCACAAUGUCCUCCAACCCAGCUCCCAGGCUUAAGUCCUGGGAAGACGUUAGUCCGGCAACACGAAAGAGCCUGUUUUAUUGGAAACUCAGUAAGACACGGAAAGCACAAAACACCUGGGAACUCCGUGACAAAGAUGGCAGUACCCGCAAACUAGGGGAGAAGUGGCACAGGAGGCAGCAGCAGACUCUGAUUUCCUGGAAUCUCAAGCAGAGGGGAAACUUAUCAUCCUCCAUGGUGACUGAGCGUCCUGAGUUGAGCAACUCCCCACCAGCCCCAUUCCUCUCCCUGAAAUAACUAGAGAACAUGCUAAGUGGAACUCAAGGAAUCUCAGAAGAUACAGAAAGAACCAAGGUUAACUACUUGUUGUUACUGUGUCUCCAUUUACCUCCAACAGCUGAAGUUUGAGGAAACAUAAUUUUAUAAUCAAAAUCUGACCAUGAAGGAAACUGGGUUCCAUAACAAAUCAAUAAUUGGACCAAGGAUUAAACUAAUUCAUCUAGCGCAUAACCCAUAAUGUUAUUUAUGGAAGGAAAGACUCAAAUCACAAACAAAGCACAUGAAAAAGGCAAACCCUUAAAUAUUUGUUCUACUGAUUACGGCUCUAUGAUUUUUAUGGUACAAUGUAAGGACUACACACUUGUUAGCCCCUCAGGAAAGAGUGAUCUUUGGUCUUCUGCAUGACUCCCAUACUCAGCUGAUAUGAUCUGAAAAAGGAACAUGGCUCUUCUUAUCCAUUGCAAUCUUCACUUCUUCAGUCUUUCAGUGAUGUGGCUUAAAGCUUUCUGUUUGUUGCUCCCAGCAAUGGAUACCUUCUUUUUAUAACUGUAAUUUGCAAGUCUGAUUAUUUUAAGAGUGAGACUAAAAUUUCUGGUUGAUAAUUACAGUAAGUCAAUGUGUGUUAAUAAAAGGACUCAGUACAUCAAAUUUAUCUUCAUAAAAAAAGUAAGCAAUUAAACCUAAAUCACCCACAGAAGCUACGGGCUUGGUAGAUUAUUAUAGUAAAAUAGCUAAGAAUGAUAGUUACUUUUUUUACUGAGCUUUCCGUAAGCACAAUACUCUGAACAAAAUACUUCAUUUAAUUCUCAUUAGAAGAUCAUAUUACAUCCAUCUUAUAGAUAAGGGAAGUGAAAUUUUCAAUUUAUCAAACAACUUCCUCAGGUUACAAAGCAAAGUGAGAUUCAAAACUCAAUUUGUCUAAAUCCAGUUGUUUCUGAUUUCUGGUCUCUCUUCCUUGUUAAGGAAGAGAAACCAGUAUAGUUCAUUACAUCUGUGGACUCAAGUAUCCCAGACAUACAAUAUUUCAUCCUCAGGCCAAUUUCUUAGGAAAAUCAUUCCAUUUGCCAAGAAAACAAUACAACAUUAAACUUGCUAACAUUUUGGUUCGCUCUCAGAUUCCAAGAUAAUUUCCUUAGAAGCAUAGGGAAUGAAAUCCUGACUCACAAUAAAUAAUCCUAUCAAAUGUAAUUCUGUACUACCUUUGACCUUGCUCUUUUGCCUUUAGUCACUGCCAAGACUAAUAUAGAUCUCAUAAUAUUCUCAGGGCAUAGAGAACAAUCACUGAAAUUCAUCUAAUUAUGAAAAGAAAAAGAAGUAUUUUUACAAUAUACAGAGCAUUUGUUUUCCAAAAUCUAAGCUGUCUCUUUUCCUUAAAGUAUCAUAUAAUAGUCCACAUGAUAAUUUUGCAUUUUCAGUGUGUAAAAUAGUUACCCUAGUAUUAUUCGCUACCUUCCCUUAUUACUCACUGCCAAAACAAGAGAUUAGCAUUUUACACAUUCAUUAUUACCUAAAUAUUCAAGAAUAAAACCAAGAAA